rnacentral:lncRNA from 1 species
AUCUUCGCGAAGCCAUUUUCUCUCUCUAUACGUGCAUACAAUACAGAAAUAUGGAGAGAGAGAGAGACAGAGAGAGAGAGAGAGAGAGACAGACAAGACAGACAGACAGACACAGAGAGACGGGGGUCAGAGACCGCCGACGUGAAAGAGAAAUGCACCUUAAAUAGAAAAAUUGGUAGGUCCCACGGCAGUUUCCACGUGCAAUCAGAUUGCACCCAAC